rnacentral:ncRNA from 1 species
UAGGUAGGCGUAGGUGACCCUCUCGGAGCUGAAGCAACUCACGCUAUUUGUGCAGGUAUGGGCGGCGUUCGUACUGCCGGAGAUCUGGUAUUACGUAUGC